AUGCUCACUUGGGCAGCACAUAUACUAAAAUUGGAGCCAUACAGAGAAGAUUAUCAUGGCCCCUGGGAAAGAUGACAUGAAAAUGCAUGAAGCAUUCCAUAUUAAA